ACCAUGACGCGCUACUCCACGGCGACCAUCUUUAUUCCUGGUGGCCGCUAUCUGAGGCCUGCGACGGUACUUCUACUUGAGUUGCUGUGCGAGCCGCCGCCGCAGCUCCGACUCUACGUCAUCAGGAGAGGCGGCGCUCGCUGCAAAAGACUAAGGGCGAAAGGGAGAGGGAAGCUGGUGCAGGGGGACGCCCCGGAAGUGGGAGUUCCGCUUGGCUGAGGGGUGGGGCCAAAAGUCUGUUUACGACCGGCUGGCUGUUUUUCGCAGGCUCGGUUUUGAUCUGGCGCAUGCGUACUUACAGCUUCCCAAGGACCAACUCCGGAGGGGAGGCGGGCCGUUGCUAUGGUGAUGGAUGCUCUCGAAAUUCCCUGGGGAUCCGCGUGCUGAUCUCGGAUGCUGCUCGUGGGCUGGACACUCAAGGAGGGAAUGGGCACAGAAAACCAAGAUACUACCAGUUCUGAGAAGGAGGAACACUUCCAUCAAGAUAUAUUCCCAGUGAAAAAGCAGUGCCAAGGCAAUAGUAUCCAAGUCUUCAACAUAACUUUUCCAUGCAGAGGAUGGAUGUUUCAUGGAGAAAGCACAAAAGGAAAUCUUAAAUUGAGGUCUAGAGGCUUACAUCAGUCGGGUGGUACAGUGGAGAGAAUGCUGGACUUGAAAUCAAGAAGACCUGGAUUCAGAUCCCACCUUUGAUAGAUGAUCCCUGGUAGGCUGACUGGUAGUACCAUCCUCCACAGGGUUUGGUGAGGUUCAGAGAAGAUCUCACAUGUCAAAAGGAAACCAUCAGAGAGAUAUCAGCUCUUUACUCCGAGGUGCUAGAAGGCCAUUUGGGCCAAUUUCGCUGAAAAGAAUAAGCUCGCUGUAUCCUGCUCACUCGUGAUCCUCAAUGCUUAGAGAUAAGGGAUGUGUGUGGGGGGAAUUCACAGCCUCUAUUUCCUUUCAAGAACAGCCUCUACUUUCAAGGUGCU
rnacentral:lncRNA from 1 species